GGCAAGAUGGAAAAUUCUGAGGUUUCUCUUAUGUUUGAUGGUGGUAUGAUCUGACCUUUAACAUGAUCAAGUUAAAGAUCUAGGUUGAUGCAAGAAUAGAAAACUACAGCUCUUAGCUUCAUACAAGAAAAUGAAAAUAAAGACAAACCGACCAACCGAC
rnacentral:lncRNA from 14 species